rnacentral:lncRNA from 1 species
UCAGCUGCGCGCUCUACUCAUAAUUCUGAAACUGGAAAGAACAUAUGAGCUUGGCCUGCUGUCGUUUAGUUGAUCUAUUGUUUAUUUGGAGAAGGUUGGUAGAACAGCUUGGGAAUAACUUCACCUUGACUUAUUUAUUUCCUUUGGCGUUCAGGGUUUGGUGCUACCUCGGAGCUGUUGAUGUUCACUGUAUGUAUGUGUUUUGGGUGUUUGUUUGUAAAUUUCUUUUUAUACUAGGAUCUUCAAGCUACUUUGGUGAAGGAUUUGACAGGAAUAAGGAAAACAUCUCCAUUGUGAGUCAUUUUGCGUAGCUUUCCUGCUUAAACCACUAGGAUAGACUUUUCUAUUUUGUCGAAGUGAAGAGUUGCUGCCUGAGUGAUUUCUGCUGAGAAAGCCAAGCCAGUGUGAUCUGUAGUGUGUUAGUGGGUACUACUAACAUGGCUGUCUUCUCAGAUUCCUAAAUAAGACUAUGUUCUUAGUCAUAAGAUGCUGUGCACUUAACAUUUUUGUGUUCCUUUCUAGGAGAUUUCUUUAAUUUCUUGUAUUUUUAAACCACUAAGCAGUUAUUUAUUUUUGAAAAAGCUUGUUUGUUUGUUUGUUUAAAAUGUUUUCACCAUUGCUCUCUUCAGACACACCAGAAGAGGGCAUCAGACCCCAUUAUAGAUGGUUGGGAGCCACUAUGUGGUUGCUGGGAUUGAACUCAGGACCUCUAGAAGAGUAGUCAGUGCUCUUAACCACUGAGCCAUCUCUUCAGCCCACACUAAACAGUUAUUUUAAAUAAAGAUUAAAUAUUUUUAAAAAUUACUGACAUGUUUUAAGAUGGAGGACAAACGAAUUACAAGGGUUUUUUGUUUUUCAGUUUUAAAAAGAUUAUAUGUUACAUAUAUAGGUGUUUUGCUUCAUGUAUAUCUGUGUGCCACUUGGCUGCAGUGCUCAAGAAGUUCAGAAGAAGGUAGAGGAUCCAUUAGAACUAGACAGCAAGUUAUGAACUGCACUUAGGCGUAUGGGGACUCAAACCCUGGUCCCUUGGAAGAACAGCUGAUGCUCUUAACCACAGAGCCAUCUCUCCAGCACUGUGAUUUCUUAUAUAGUACUUCGUAGACAUGCACUUCUUUUUUAAUUUCUUUCUUUUUUUUUUAAAGAUUUAUUUAUUUUAUAUAUGUGAAUACACUGUCGUUAUCUUCAGACACACCAGAAGAGGGCACCAGAUCUCAUACAGAUGGUUGUGAGCCACUGUGUAGUCUCUGGGAAUUAAACUUUGGACCUCUGGAAGAGCAGCCGGUGCUCUAAACUACUGAGCCAUCUCUCCAGCCCCCAGACAUGUAUUUCUUACUUUUAAAAAAUAUUUAGAGAGAGAGAGAGAGAGCCUGCCUUCUUUCCAUCCUUCCUGAGGAAGCCAGAAGAAGGUGUUGGGUCCACUGGAGCUGGAGGUACAUGUAGUUAUGUUCUAGGAUCAGCUGGGUUCUGGGAUUAGAACUCUGGUCCUCUAGAAAAGCAGUAGAUAUCCUUAGCUGCUGAGACAUCACUCCAGUCCCCAUCAGAUGUACCGUUUUAAAGUUAGGGCAGUGUCAGACUGUAGAAUUCUGUCUGCCUGUUAAGAUUGGAGGUUGCACUGGGUGUGGGUGCAUUUACAGAGCAAGUUCCAGGACAGCCAGAGUUAAACAGCAAAACCCUGUCUUGGAAGAGAAAUUGAAAAAGGCAACUGAGGGGCUGGAGCAUGUUGGUACUCUUGUGAGGGACCUGGGCUUGAGUCCCAGCACUUCCAUGACAGCUUGCAAUAGUCUCUAACUCCAGUUCAGGGGACCUGAUGCCUCUUCUGAUCUCCUCAGGCUUCCUACAUGCUCAUGAUGCACAUAAAUACACUCAGGAACACCCACAGAAUUAAAUAAGCAAUUUGAAAAAUAGAUACACUUUAAAACAGUGGUUCUCACCAGACUGUGGUAGCACACAUCUUUAAUCCCAGCACUUGGGAGACAGUAAAUUUGAGGCCAGCCUGGUCUACAGAGCAAGUUCCAGGACAGCCAGGACUACUAUGCAGAGAGACCUGUAUAGUGGGACUAUCUUGGACCCACCAAAGAUAUAAAUAACUCAAGGGUUUAUUAAUAUUUUAAAGCUCCAUUCUUUUGCUGAGCAGUCUCCUGACUACUCCUGGCAUUAUUUCCUUCUGUGUGGCCAGAUCUACAUCUUACACUCAACUUUGGUCUGUCUGUUUACUUCCUUGUGCGCUAGGUGCCUGGAAGAUCCACCUUCCACUUCCUGCCCAACUAUUGACCAGGUGAGGAAGAUGGAAUAUUUACAGAACAUGAGACUAGUGAUGGGCCAUAGAAUUAACAGUUCCCAGAUCCUGCCAGCAUUUAGCUCUCUGCCAGUACAAAAUGAAUGACUGAAUAUACAGGGACAUACCUUCACAUAGUAUACCCUAACAACACUGUCCC